CCUACGGGCGGCAGCAGUGAGGAAUACUGGUCAAUGGACGAGAGUCUGAACCAGCCAAGUAGCGUGAAGGAUGACUGCCCUAUGGGUUGUAAACUUCUUUUAUAUGGGAAUAAAAUGUUCCACGUGUGGGAUUUUGUAUGUACCAUAUGAAUAAGGAUCGGCUAACUCCGUGCCAGCAGCCGCGGUAAUACGGAGGAUCCGAGCGUUAUCCGGAUUUAUUGGGUUUAAAGGGAGCGUAGGUGGAUUGUUAAGUCAGUUGUGAAAGUUUGCGGCUCAACCGUAAAAUUGCAGUUGAAACUGGCAGUCUUGAGUACAGUAGAGGUGGGCGGAAUUCGUGGUGUAGCGGUGAAAUGCUUAGAUAUCACGAAGAACUCCGAUUGCGAAGGCAGUUCACUGGACUGCAACUGACACUGAGGCUCGAAAGUGUGGGUAUCAAACAGGAUUAGAUACCCCUGUAGUC
rnacentral:rRNA from 1 species